AAGCCAACUAAUCUUAUUUAAAUGUGCAGAAAUUUAGAAACAGCUGGCGAUAUCAAUGCCACUUCAUGAGUCUUAAGGACAACUGAGGUCAUUACUGUCCCGUCAAAUGGCUACAAUA
rnacentral:snoRNA from 1 species